UGCCCUGUGGUGUAAUUGGCAACAUCUCCCACUUUGACUGGGAAGCUUUAGGUUCGAAUCCUGGCAGGGCAG
rnacentral:tRNA from 1 species